GGGAUAACGUUUGGAAACGAACGCUAAUACCGCAUAAAAUAUCGGAGUCGCAUGGCACUGAUAUCAAAGGAGCAAUCCGCUGAAAGAUGGGCUCGCGUCCGAUUAGGCAGUUGGCGGGGUAACGGCCCACCAAACCGACAAUCGGUAGCCGGACUGAGAGGUUGAACGGCCACAUUGGGACUGAGACACGGCCCAGACUCCUACGGGAGGCAGCAGUGGGGGAUAUUGCACAAUGGGGGAAACCCUGAUGCAGCGAUGCCGCGUGAAUGAAGACGGCCUUCGGGUUGUAAAGUUCUGUCGCAGGGGACGAAAAUGACGGUACCCUGCAAGAAAGCUCCGGCUAACUACGUGCCAGCAGCCGCGGUAAUACGUAGGGAGCAAGCGUUGUCCGGAAUUACUGGGUGUAAAGGGAGCGUAGGCGGGAGGAUAAGUUGAAUGUGAAAUCUAUGGGCUCAACCCAUAGCUGCGUUCAAAACUGUUCUUCUUGAGUGAAGUAGAGGCAGGCGGAAUUCCUAGUGUAGCGGUGAAAUGCGUAGAUAUUAGGAGGAACACCAGUGGCGAAGGCGGCCUGCUGGGCUUUUACUGACGCUGAGGCUCGAAAGCGUGGGUAGCAAACAGGAUUAGAUACCCUGGUAGUCCACGCGGUAAACGAUGAUUACUAGGUGUGGGUGGACUGACCCCAUCCGUGCCGGAG
rnacentral:rRNA from 1 species